UACGUAGGGUGCGAGCGUUGUCCGGAAUUACUGGGCGUAAAGAGCUCGUAGGUGGUUUGUCGCGUUGUCCGUGAAAACUCACAACUCAAUUGUGGGCGUGCGGGCGAUACGGGCAGACUGGAGUACUGCAGGGGAGACUGGAAUUCCUGGUGUAGCGGUGGAAUGCGCAGAUAUCAGGAAGAACACCCGUGGCGAAGGCGGCUCCACUGGCCGGUACUGACGCUGAGGUG
rnacentral:rRNA from 1 species